AUCACGUGGUCCUGUCGCGCGUCACGUGGCUGCCAUCGCCGGUCACGUGGCCGCCGGCGCGGGUCACGAGAACAAACACGGGGGCAGCCGGCGCUUCCCGGCCGGUGUCGCUCCGCGGCGGGCCAUGGCCAACGUCUCUAAGAAGGUGUCGUGGUCCGGCCGGGACCGGGACGACGAGGAGGCGGCGCCGCUGCUGCGGAGGACGGCGCGGCCCGGCGGGGGGACGCCGCUGCUGAACGGGGCUGGGCCCGGGGCUGCGCGCCAGUAGAGAUGGGGUUUCACCAUGUUGGCCCAGCUGGUCUCGAACUCCUGGCCUCAAGUGAUUCGCCCGCCUCGGCCUCCCAAAGUGCUGGGAUUACAGGCAUGAGCCACUGUACCCCGCCGGGAAGAUCUGGUUCUGAAGGCAGUUUCUGGGAUGGCGGUUUGGGGAGCCCGUCUCCUUCAGGGUGAGCAC
rnacentral:sRNA from 1 species